GGCUUACCACAGCCUCAACUUCCCAGGCUCCAGCCAUCCUCUCACCUCAGCCUCCCAAGUAGCUAGGACUACAGGCGUGAGCCACUGUGCCUGGCCUAAUUUUAUAAUUUUAAAUGUCUGUAAAGUAAGCAAAAUGACUAGUUGAAUUGUACAUUAAAUAUAUCUAAUCCCUAAGAGUUUAUAAUGAAAAGGGAUCAAAACUUUUUCAAUUGCGAUAAAACUCACAUAACAAAAUUAACCAUUUUAAAGUGAACAAUUUAGUGGUAUUUAGUGCAUUCACAGUGUCGUGCAGCCAACACCUGUAUCUAGUUCCAAGACAUUUUCAUCUCCCCAAAAGGAGACCCCAUACACGUGAAGCAGUCCCUCUCCCAUCCCCCUCCUCCCAUCCGCUAGCAACUGCUAAUUUGCUUUUUGUCUCUAUGGAUUUACCUGUUCUGGAUAUUUCACAUAAAUGGAAUUAUACAAUAAAGGACCGUUUGUUUCUAACUUCUUUCACUAAGCAUCCAUGUUAUAGCAUAUAUCAGACUUCAUUCCUUUAUGACUGAAUAAUACUUUGCUGAAUGGAUAUAUCAGUGUUUUAUUUGUCCUUUCAUCAGUUGGUGGACAUUUGGGUUCUUUCUACCUUUUGGCUAUUGUGACUAGUGGUGUUGCAAACAUUCAUGUACAAGUUUUUGUUUGAAUGCCUGUUGUCAGUUCUUCUAGAUAUAUACUUAGAAGUGGAAUUGCUGGGUCAUAUGGUAAUUUCUCUGUUUCAACUUUUUGAGAGACCACGAAACCGUUUUCCACAGUGGUGGCACCAUUUGACAUGCCCACUAGAAAUAUAUGAGAGUUCCAUUUUCUUCACAUCUUCUGACAGCUUUUUGGGGUGUUGGGAUGAUUCGUCUAAUUGGGAAAAUAAGUACCUUAUUUGGGCCUAUAUGGUAUUUUUAAUUCUGUGUGUCUGCUCCCAAACUCUGUAGCCCUGCCCUCCCUUAUAUUGUGUAUCCUGUUUCAGAUUGUUUCCGUUUCUUCUGAGACACUGCAUAUACCCCUACAUGUAUCUGUGCUAGGCAUACAUCCCUGUAACUUCAUGGCAUUUUUGUAAUUGCUGUGUACCUGUUACGUAUACUGAGUGGGAGUGUCUCAUUUGCUGUAGAACUCUCUGCAUUAGUGUAGUGUCUGGCACACAGUAGCUGCUCAGGCAUUUUUUAAGUAUAUGAUUAUUGGGAAAACUACAGAGCUAGGGAGAGAUCUGAAGAAAUACUAGAAAUUUUUUUCUGCAAAGAAAACUUUAGAAAAUUGUUGACAUCAUCUGUGGCAUGCAGCAAAAGUUGAUGUAAAAGGAACAGAAAGACCUAUGGAGAUAAUGGGAUGUAAUAACAGAAAACAUACAUAAACAAUUGGUUCUGAAAUCAGUUAAGAGCAGAACUGGAAUUCAUACUCUGUGGAAUGAAUCAGCAAUGUGGAAGGAGUAACAAGAUUUUUUAAAAAGAUUUUGAAUUUAGGCUGGGUGCAGUGGCUCACGCCUGUAACCCCAUCACUUUGGGAGGCCAGAGUAGGUGGAUUGCUUCAACCCAGGCAUUCGAGACUAGCCUGGACAGCAUGGCAAAACCCUAUCUCUACAAAAAAUAAAAAAUUAGCCAGGUGUGGUGGCAUGCGCCUGUAGUCCCAUCUACUUGGGAGGCUGAGGUGGAUGGAUCACCUGAGCCUGGGAAGUGGAGGUUGCAGUAGGCUGAAGUCAUGCCACUGCACUCAAACCUGGCGGACAGAGUGAGACCCUAUCUCA
rnacentral:lncRNA from 10 species